rnacentral:pre_miRNA from 11 species
GAGCGCACGGGAUAAUAUAUUAUUGUGUGCGGUCGGUAUAAUUUGACCGCACGGGAUAAUAUAUUAUCCCGUGCGGUG